UACACGCUGUGACUAGCAUAUCAAUAAGCGGAGGAAAAGAAACUAACAAGGAUUCCCCUAGUAACGGCGAGUGAAGCGGGAAGAGCUCAAAUUUGAAAUCUUAAAGGGUUUCCCUUUACGAAUUGUAGUUUAAAGAAGUGUUUUCUGUUGAGGUUUUGAUAAAAGUUCUUUGGAAUAGGACAUCAUAGAGGGUGAGAAUCCCGUAUUUGACCUUUACUUUCAACUUUGUGAUACACUUUCAAAGAGUCGGAUUGUUUGGGAAUGCAGUCCAAAAUGGGUGGUAAAUUUCAUCUAAAGCUAAAUAUUGGCGAGAGACCGAUAGCGAACAAGUACCGUGAGGGAAAGAUGAAAAGAACUUUGAAAAGAGAGUUAAACAGGUACGUGAAAUUGUCAAAAGGGAAGCGUUUGACACCAGUGUUGUUUUUCUGAAAAUCAAUUAAAGAACUGUUUAUGCUAAGCUGUUUAGACUUUAUCAGCUAACUGUUUAGUUUUGAGCUUUUCUUUAAUGCACUUUUCAGUUAACAAGUCAACAUCAAUUUCUUUUGCUGUAAAAAAGCUUGAGGAAGGUGGCUUGAGACUCGUCUUAAGUGUUUAUAGCCUCUUGCCUAUGCAGUCGGAGAGAUUGAGGUCUGCAGCGUAGAUCCUUCGGGGCUAAAUGCAUUUGUGCUAAGUUAUAGCAUUUUAUAGACAACUUGUUGACUAUGAUUUGUCUUGUAGCUUACUCGCUUAUGUUAUUUUACCUACGCUUAGGAUGUUGACGCGCGUGUGUGCGUG
rnacentral:rRNA from 1 species